rnacentral:rRNA from 1 species
GACGAACGCUGGCGGCGUGCUUAACACAUGCAAGUCGAACGGAAAGGCCUGCUUUCCCUUGUGGAUUGCGGGUACUCGAGUGGCGAACGGGUGAGUAACACGUGAGUGAUCUGCCCCCAACUUGGGUAUAAGCCUGGGAAACUGGGUCUAAUUCCCGAUAGGACUGCAGGGUGGUGCCUGUGGUGGAAAACGAUUUUCUAGUGGUUGGGGAUGAGCUCGCGGCCUAUCAGCUUGUUGGUGGGGUAAUGGCCUACCAAGGCGGCGACGGGUAGCCGGCCUGGGAGGGUGGACGGGCACAUUGGGACUGAGAUACGGCCCAGACUCCUACGGGAGGCAGCAGUGGGGAAUAUUGCACAAUGGUCGGAAGCCUGAUGCAGCGACGUGGCGUGGGUGAUCAAGGCGUUCGGGUUGUAAACUCCUUUCGACCGGAAGUAAGCCACCUGGUUGGAAGGGUGGUGACGGUAGUGGUAGAAGAAGCACCGGCUAACUACGUG